UAGGGAAUAUUGCACAAUGGGCGAAAGCCUGAUGCAGCAACGCCGCGUGCGCGAUGAAGGCCUUCGGGUCGUAAAGCGCUUUUCGGGGAGAUGAGGAAGGACAGUAUCCUCGGAAGAAGGAUCGGCUAACUACGUGCCAGCAGCCGCGGUAAAACGUAGGAUCCGAGCGUUAUCCGAAUUCACUGGGCGUAAAGCGCGUGCAGGCGGUCCGGUAAGUUGGAUGUGAAAUCUCCUGGCUCAACUGGGAGAGGACGUUCAAUACUGUCGGACUCGAGGACGGUAGAGGGAGGUAGAAUUCCCGGUGUAGUGGUGAAAUGCGUAGAUAUCGGGAGGAAUACCAGUGGCGAAGGCGGCCUCCUGGACCGUUCCUGACGCUCAGACGCGAAAGCUAGGGGAGCAA
rnacentral:rRNA from 1 species